rnacentral:misc_RNA from 1 species
UUAACUAUUAUAUAGUACUCAGACGACGUUAAUAUUCAGGGUUUGAUAAUCCUCCGGCGGGCACCCAAGGCCGGAACCCCGUGAGGGGAGCAGGCGGCCCGCCGAAGCAACAUGGUAUAUAUAACACAAGGGUGGGAGGUCUACCCGUGAGGGCAUGAACUCUGUAAUGAUCCUUCCGCAGGUUCACCUACGGAAA